CCGGCGGGGGCGGGUACGGCCGUGAGGGCCGAUCCUCCCCGGCAGUGACCGUGCGGCUUUGGGCUGUGUCUGCUUCCCGCGCCCUUGGAGCCUUGGGAUCCGAGAGCGUCCUAGCGGGAAGUAAAGGGAAGAAGUCUGCAGUCUGCCAGGAUGGAAGGAAGAGGAGAGGAAGAUCCCUAAGGAAAGCAGCAAAGGGCCUGAUAGCCAUGGUGCAUGUAUCACAGCCAGAGACUUUAUCAGCAGAGGAAACUCACAUUUCCAGCUGUGCUGCAUGAGGAGCGUUGCUGUGAACCAUCUCCACAGUGGAUGUAACCAAAAGGCAUUGACUGGGAAAAAAUUUAACCUGAAGAAAGAAGACAUGUAUGAAACAAUUCAUGACACAGAUUUGUGGUUGGAUUAGAUUUUUGGUUUUGUUCCCCCAAAA